GUGCCAGCAGCCGCGGUAAUACGUAGGUGGCAAGCGUUGUCCGGAAUUAUUGGGCGUAAAGCGCGCGCAGGCGGUUUCUUAAGUCUGAUGUGAAAGCCCCCGGCUCAACCGGGGAGGGUCAUUGGAAACUGGGAGACUUGAGUGCAGAAGAGGAGAGUGGAAUUCCAUGUGUAGCGGUGAAAUGCGUAGAUAUAUGGAGGAACACCAGUGGCGAAGGCGACUCUCUGGUCUGUAACUGACGCUGAGGCGCGAAAGCGUGGGGAGCAAACAGGAUUAGAUACCCUGGUAGUCC
rnacentral:rRNA from 1 species